UAUUCUGUUGUGGGAGCGGCGCAAGGGUGCGUAACACGUGGGUAAUCUGCCAUGAAGUUUGGGAUAACCCCGAGAAAUCGGGGCUAAUACCGGAUGUGACAGCCUGGAGGCAUCUUUGGGUUGUUAAAGUUGGGGACCGUAAGGCCUGACGCUUCAUGAUGAGCCCGCGGCCUAUCAGCUAGUUGGUGAGGUAACGGCUCACCAAGGCUAAGACGGGUAGCUGGUCUGAGAGGACGACCAGCCACACUGGAACUGAGACACGGUCCAGACACCUACGGGUGGCAGCAGUCGAGAAUUUUUCACAAUGGGCGCAAGCCUGAUGGAGCGACGCCGCGUGGGGGAUGAAUGGCUUCGGCCCGUAAACCCCUGUCAUUUGCGAGCAAGGCGCAUUAUUUAAAAGAUGAUGCGUUGAUAGUAGCGAAAGAGGAAGGGACGGCUAACUCUGUGCCAGCAGCCGCGGUAAUACAGAGGUCCCGAGCGUUGUUCGGAUUCACUGGGCGUAAAGGGUGCGUAGGUGGUGAGGUAAGUCGGAUGUGAAAUUCUGGAGCUUAACUCCGGAACGGCAUUGGAAACUACCUUGCUGGAGGGUUGGAGGGGGGACUGGAAUUCACGGUGUAGCA
rnacentral:rRNA from 1 species